rnacentral:ncRNA from 1 species
UAAAUAUAAAAGCAAAAUAGUUGAAAGACUAUCACGCAAAAGCUUGAGUCUAAAGGGUUUUAAUAUUCUAUGAUCGUCAAGCCUGCCUCG